AAGUCGUAACAAGGUAACCGUAGGUGAACCUGCGGUUGGAUCAUUAAAAAAUGACUUUGGUCUCGUGCCAAAUCAACACCCGUGUGCACUCAUUGUCUGUCUUUGGUAGUUCGAGUCGUCCCUCCAACGGAACUCAACAUUCCGGAGGGCGCUACCGACCGAUCCCGCAAGGGGUUGGUUCGGUUGGGCUACCGCCUUUUUCUUGAACAAACCUUUUGUUUUCGUUUAUCCAGUCUGAAAUUUUUGAGUUAAUCCUCACAGAUUAAUGAACAAAAUACAACUUUUGACAACGGAUCUCUUGGCUCUC
rnacentral:misc_RNA from 1 species